UACGGGGGGAGCAAGCGUUGUUCGGAUUUACUGGGCGUAAAGGGCGCGUAGGCGGCCACCGCAAGUCGACUGUGAAAUCUCCGGGCUUAACCCGGAAAGGUCAGCCGAUACUGCGGGGCUAGAGUGCAGAAGGGGCAACUGGAAUUCGCGGUGUAGCGGUGAAAUGCGUAGAUAUCGAGAGGAACACCUGCGGCGAAGGCGGGUUGCUGGGCUGACACUGACGCUGAUGUGCGAAAGCUAGGGGAGCGAACGGG
rnacentral:rRNA from 1 species